rnacentral:rRNA from 1 species
GUAGUCCGCACCGUAAACGAUGGACACUCGGCGUUCGGAGAGUUAACCCUCUGAGUGCCAAAGUUAACACAUUAAGUGUCCCGCCUGGGAAGUACGGUCGCAAGACUAAAACUCAAAGGAAUUGACGGGGGCCCGCACAAGCGGUGGAGUAUGUGGUUUAAUUCGAAGCAACGCGCAGAACCUUACCUGGUCUUGACAUCGCGAGAUCGCCGCAGAGAUGUGGUUUUCCCUUCGGGGACUCGUGGACAGGUGCUGCAUGGCUGUCGUCAGCUCGUGUUGUGAAAUGUUCGGUUAAGUCCGGCAACGAGCGCAACCCCUGCCCUUAGUUACCAUCAUUAAGUUGGGGACUCUAGGGGGACUGCCGGUGUUAAACCGGA